rnacentral:rRNA from 1 species
GUUGAACGCUGGCGGCAUGCCUAACACAUGCAAGUCGAGCGGAUGGAGGAAGCUUGCUCCUGGAUUCAGCGGCGGACGGGUGAGUAAUGCCUAGGAGUCUGCCUGGUAUAGGGGGAUAACGUCCGGAAACGGGCGCUAAUACCGCAUACGUCCUGAGGGAGAAAGGGGGGGAUCUUCGGACCUCGCGCUAUCAGAUGAGACUAAGUCGGAUUAGCUAGUUGGUGGGGUAAAGGCCUACCAAGGCGACGAUCCGUAACCGCUCUGAGAGGAUGAUCAGUCACACUGGAACUGAGACACGGUCCAGACUCCUACGGGAGGCAGCAGUGGGGAAUAUUGCACAAUGGGCGAAAGCCUGAUCCAGCCAUGCCGCGUGUGUGAAGAAGGUCUUCGGAUUGUAAAGCACUUUAAGUUGGGAGGAAGGGCAGUAAGUUAAUACCUUGCUGUUUUGACGUUACCAACAGAAAAAGCACCGGCUAACUUCGUG